ensembl:lncRNA
GUCCACUAGAUCAGAGAGCACGGCACAGGAGAAUGAUGCGCUCCAAUGACAUUUUUCUAGAUGGUUUCGCAAUUGUGUCUGAUGAUGCCUGCAAUUCUGGGAACUAUACCACCAAGAUGAGUCUGCUGCCAGUCGCUGAAGAGAAGCCUCUGCGCCCUCCAGGCUCUUUUCUGGCUGAGAUUAUGCUGAGAGAGAGCCGACAGCAUUUGGCUCUGAGCAUCAAGUCGUGCUGCGUUUCUCCCACUGCCAGGCCUGCAGGAUUGGAUGUUGCCUGCUGCCUUUUCCCCAGACCAUCGGUGGAGUGCAGACAUAUUCAGAUACAUCGGAAUGGCAGAUCUCAGGCUGUCAACUUCACCAUCCAGCUCUUUCAGAUGUUGAAUCACUCUGUGGCAUAUCUGCACUGUGAACUCAGCAUCUGCUUGCACAACCGUGCUGAAUGCAAACAGAGCUGCUUAGAAAACUCAGCCUCCCUUACUAAGCCAAGUGACCACAGCAGUUAUGAAACACUCCACAAUGUGGCCUCUUGGGGACCCGUAUUGAAGGCCCAGGUAGAACCUCCACUUGGACCAGUUGUAGGAUCUGAAGUGGUUUUGAUCUUUCCAGUUCUCUUCUGCGCCUUGACAGGUAUUGUGGUCCUAAUGGGCGUCGUCAUAUUUCUCUGGUUGCAUCAGAGGCGUCCAACUAAAAUGACAAUGGAACAGAAGAACCAAGAAAGCAGAGAACCUUGAAGCUGCUAUAAGCAGCUGAUUGUGGGUACUAAGGCUGCUUAUGCUGCUGUUGCUGCCGCUGCUGCUGCUACCCAUGUGAUGUGGGAACAUCUCCUUGCCUGCUGGGUUGCUUUUUGUAGCAGAAGACCGCUGCUUCCCUGUUUUCCUUUCCUCUUUCACGAGAGAGACAAAGACCCACAGAAGUUGCAGUGGAGCACUCCAAAGAUCCAGAAGCAUGAGAGUGAAUGAGAGAAAGCCAUGGAUUGAAAGAGGUUGGAUGUGAACUGGACAUCCAUGAGUUGCCUGACCACUUGUGGACUGAAAGCACAGAAGACAAAGCUACGAGUACAGAGCUGGAAUUUCCUAAGAGGACAAGCAAUUGUUGUUAAUGAUUAUUACUGCAGUGGUGGUAUGGAAGUGGCUAAGGUGACAGUAAUGAGGUAUUGUUCUUCUAAAAGGUGAUAUUCUGUGCUACUAUAUCCUGGGAUUUAGGUGUCCUUAUACUGUGUUAGCAAUUUUUGCUCAGUAUAACUGUUGGUUUAUGGUCAACUGAGAACCCAUUACACACCUUGCCUUCUAACAAAUCUGGAAUGAAUCUGCUCCUGCCAAGAACAAGUGCAGUGGACUAAAUAAUGGGGAAAGUGAAAGAACAAAUGAUUUUACGAUCCGUAAAUGUGGGAAUCAACACAACCUCUGUCCAGGAUUGUUCUUUAGAGAAGGUAGCAUUAAUCUACCUUUUCUAGGCUGGAAUGCUCAUGAGAGUGAGGAGCAGCAGAUAAACAUGUGAAAGAUCCUACCAUCAAACUGGCUGUAAGGAUGCAAUCAGACAGGACUUUUGGGGGAGGGGUGUGACAAUUUACAAAGAAUCACCCCAUCUGUGGAUGCAGAAAAAGAAUCUGUCACACAAUUUUAAAAAUAAGUGGCUAAAAAUCUCAUCACUUCUUUUUC